rnacentral:rRNA from 1 species
AGAGUUUGAUCCUGGCUCAGAAUCAACGCUGGCGGCGCGCCUAACACAUGCAAGUCGAACGAGAAAGUGGAGCAAUCCAUAAGUAAAGUGGCGUACGGGUGAGUAACACGUGGAUCAUCUGCCCUUUUGUGGGGAAUACCGCUGGGAAACCGGCGACAAUACCGCAUAAGCCCGAGAGGGGAAAGCAGCAAUGCGCAGAAGGAGGAGUCCGCGGUCGAUUAGUUAGUUGGCGGGGUAAAGGCCCACCAAGACUGUGAUCGAUAGCCGGCCUGAGAGGGCACACGGCCACACUGGCACUGAAACACGGGCCAGACUCCUACGGGAGGCAGCAGUGGGGAAUCUUGCACAAUGGGGGAAACCCUGAUGCAGCGACGCCGCGUGAGCGAUGAAGCCCCUCGGGGUGUAAAGCUCUUUCGGCAGGGAAGAUUAUGACGGUACCUGCAAAAGCAGCUGCGGCUAACUACGUGCCAGCAGCCGCGGUAAUACGUAGGCAGCAAGCGUUGUUCGGAGUUACUGGGCGUAAAGGGUGCGUAGGCGGCUUUUUAAGUUUGGUGUGAAAUCUCCCGGCUCAACUGGGAGGGUGCGCCGAAUACUGAGAGGCUAGAGUGUGGGAGAGGAAAGUGGAAUUCCUGGUGUAGCGGUGAAAUGCGUAGAUAUCAGGAGGAACACCGGUGGUGUAAACGGCUUUCUGGACCAUAACUGACGCUGAGGCACGAAAGCGUGGGUAGCAAACAGGAUUAGAUACCCUAGUAGUCC